UACGGAGGGUGCAAGCGUUGUUCGGAAUUAUUGGGCGUAAAGGGCGUGUAGGUGGCACUCCAAGUCUGGUGUGAAAGCCCACGGCUCAACCGUGGAACUGCAUUGGAAACUGGGGAGCUCGAGUAUUGGAGGGGGUCGCGGAAUUCCCGGUGUAGAGGUGAAAUUCGUAGAUAUCGGGAGGAACACCAGUGGCGAAGGCGGCGACCUGGCCAUUUACUGACACUGAGACGCGAAAGCGUGGGGAGCAAAC
rnacentral:rRNA from 1 species